GAUGAACGCUAGCGACAGGCUUAACACAUGCAAGUCGAGGGGUAACAGGGUAGCAAUACCGCUGACGACCGGCGCACGGGUGAGUAACGCGUAUGCAACCUGCCUAUAACUGGGGAAUAGCUCCCUGAAAGGGGAAUUAACACCGCAUAACACUAUUGAUUCGCAUGGAUUGGUAGUUAAAUGUAGCGAUACAGGUUAUAGAUGGGCAUGCGUGACAUUAGCUAGUUGGUGAGGUAACGGCUCACCAAGGCUACGAUGUCUAGGGGUUCUGAGAGGAAGGUCCCCCACACUGGUACUGAGACACGGACCAGACUCCUACGGGAGGCAGCAGUGAGGAAUAUUGGUCAAUGGGCGCAAGCCUGAACCAGCCAUGUCGCGUGCAGGAAGACUGCCCUGUGGGUUGUAAACUGCUUUUAUAGUAGAAGAAACACAUCUACGAGUAGAUGUCUGCCAGUAUACUAUGAAUAAGCAUCGGCUAA
rnacentral:rRNA from 1 species